ensembl:lncRNA
GGGAAAGUAUUUGCUGUCUGUCAACAGCCAGCAUGGGGGCCAGCCCGCCUUUCCAAGGACAUGUAAGACUUCCAAAGUCAGAGACAUUGUGGUUCCUGCAGAAUCGGAACUCUUGGUGUGGGGCCGGACGAGCGAAGAUUCAUCCCCCUCAGGGCGUACCCUAUUGGUUGAACCCUUAUCCCAGCAUGAUGUAGAAUGUCCUUGCUGAACUCCACGGGGUGUCAGCAGAAGAUGUCCAAACACAACGGGUGCUUCACCUGCACGGGGCGGAGACCGGGACUGUCGAGGUCGCCAUCCAUAGCAUCGAGGCCCUCCAGCCAGGUGACUUCGCAACAUCCCAAAUGCUAGGUGACAGUUUGACUGCGGAACAACAACAUAGAGUGAAAGACCGGAUGAGCCAGUGGAGUGCUGUGUUUGCGCAGCACGAGGACCCUUAUUCAUCACUGCAGCACUGAGCUCAAACACACACUGAGACCAACUGUGGGCAGUGAAAGGUCCACAGAGGAGGUUGGAGGUGGUAACUGUCUCACCCAACACCACCUGCCGUGCAAGUUCUAAGCACCUUCGUAACAACUGCACGUCUUCAUAUUUCAAAUGAAUCAAACCGUUUUAAGAACUGGAAUUGAACUACAGAUUCAGACGUAACAAAGAAUCCCUCUCAUUCCACAACCCGACUCACCCAACGGAGGCCCAGACGCCACCAUGCUCUUUAGCUCCGCUUGAACCACAGGAGGCGCUGUCUUGAGUUUGGCGGCGGCGUGGUCGAAGAAAAGUUCCACCGUCACCCCGUCCAGCAUGGGAAACAGCGUCUGACUGUGCACUGUUCUGGCCGUUUUCCGACGGUCGUUGCACUUUGUGCAUAUCCUUUUCGACAAAGAAAUCCACCAAAAAAACUCACGUACAAUAGAUUAGGUAAACCAUCAGUUAUGGACAGACACAAGUAAAUACCAAAAAGACUAUGUUUUGUUAUGGGUUGUGUUAGUUAAUGGGAGACACAUGUUCAUAAGUGUUUGCGCUAGAGUUAGAAAAUGGGAAAAAUGAUACAUGAUAGUGUGAGUCCAUAUGUUUGUUGAUCAAGAAAGCACUAGAAUGCAGACCACUUACAUUUUGAAUAAUACUGGGACAUAUGUGAAACAUAUAGUAUGUAUUGCAUGUGGGUGGGUGUGUUGGGUUAUGCGGUAGAUAUAAGGUUUUCAUUCCAGGAUACGUAGCCGCGUGAAUAGUGGACUAGCACUUCAGAUAUCGCCUGGCCAGUGAUGUCUGCUGCUAACACGAGACAUAAGAGGGAGAUGAAUGUUAUGUGAAUGACUGUUGUUGUACAGAGAGUGUCCUGAAUGACUCCCGUAGAACCUACUGUCAUAACGCGUGUUAAGAACACAAGUACUCUUUGUGAAUCUGUAAUGUCGGGUCAACAUUCAUUUUGGAGGGGAGAGUGUGGGGUCCCCAGGAUGGAUAUGCUAUAGUAAAGGGACACCCCCCUAUAUUCCAUUAUUUAUGUAUUGGAUUUUCUAAUUAUUUGUUGAUUUAAACUUACUUUGGUUCUUUUGCAAAGCAUUAGUAUUUAUAUGUGUUGGUAAGGGAACAGGCACUAAGGUGACCUAAGGGGUCCUUGUUUCGGGAGACAACGGGGAGAUGUUUUCGCGCGCUUGGAAAAAAGUAAGGAAAAGAGAAAGAAGAAGAUAGAGCGGAAAAAGAGUGUACCUGUAACUUGGCGCUGAUGCGCACUUCUUACCUGUUUUCACGGAGGAAUAAAGAUUUUCUUAAAACUAACGCACGCCUGGG